GGUUGCGAUCAUACCAGCACUAAUGCACCGGAUCCCAUCAGAACUCCGCAGUUAAGCGUGCUUGGGCGAGAGUAGUACUAGAAUGGGUGACCCCCUGGGAAGUCCUCGUGUUGCAACCC
rnacentral:rRNA from 2 species